rnacentral:rRNA from 1 species
UGGUGAAAGUAAAAUCACUGAAUCCAGUGCUGUAUACAACCACCUGUUUACCUUUACCUGUUGCUUCCGUGGAAUUACGGGUGCUCUUCCUGUUCGCAGGCUUGAGCUACCUUCCACGGGUGUAUUUUAAAACUCGUUUUGUAUUAUUGUCUGAUUUAAAAUUUUAAUAAAAGUUAAAACUUUCAACAACGGAUCUCUAGGUUCUCGCAUCGAUGAAGAACGCAGCGAAAUGCGAUAAGUAGUGUGAAUUGCAGAUUUCAGUGAAUCAUCGAAUCUUUGAACGCACAUUGCGCCCUUUGGUAUUCCGAAGGGCAUGCCUGUCUGAGCGUCAAUAAAUCAAUCAAACCUUGGUUUGGUAUUGGGAGAAGUGGUUUUGCCUCUCUCCUUUAAGCUAUUGGCGACGCUAUUUCAGCUUGUAAGACGUAGUAAGUAAUUUCUCGUUAAAGCAACUGUAUGGCUGUCUGCCAAAUGAACGAUUUAUUUUACAGCUUGACCUCAGAUCAGGUAGGGAUACCCCCUGAACUUAAGCAUAUCAAUAA